GACGAACGCUGGCGGCGUGCUUAACACAUGCAAGUCGACCGGAAAGGCCCCUUUUGGGGUACUCGAGUGGCGCACGGGUGAGUAACACGUGAGUAACCUGCCCUUGACUUCGGGAUAACUUCAGGAAACUGGGGCUAAUACCGGAUAGGAAUCCUUGCUGCAUGGUGGGGGUUGGAAAGCUUCGGCGGUUUGGGAUGGACUCGCGGCUUAUCAGCUUGUUGGUGGUGUAGUGGCUUACCAAGGCUUUGACGGGUAGCCGGCCUGAGAGGGCGACCGGCCACAUUGGGACUGAGAGACGGCCCAGACUCCUACGGGAAGCAGCAGUGGGGAAUAUUGCACAUAGGGCGGGAGCCUGAUGCAGCAACGCCGCGUGCGGGAGGACGGCCUUCGGGUUGUAAACCGCUUUCAGCAGUGGCGAAGCUUGUGGUGACGGUACCUGCAGAAGAAGCACCGGCUAACUACGUG
rnacentral:rRNA from 1 species